rnacentral:rRNA from 1 species
GCAGUAGCCGCGGUAAUACAGAGGGUGCGAGCGUUAAUCGGAUUUACUGGGCGUAAAGCGUGCGUAGGCGGCUUUUUAAGUCGGAUGUGAAAUCCCUGAGCUUAACUUAGGAAUUGCAUUCGAUACUGGGAAGCUAGAGUAUGGGAGAGGAUGGUAGAAUUCCAGGUGUAGCGGUGAAAUGCGUAGAGAUCUGGAGGAAUACCGAUGGCGAAGGCAGCCAUCUGGCCUAAUACUGACGCUGAGGUACGAAAGCAUGGGGAGCAAACAGGAUUAGAUACCCGUGUAGUCCCUGUCUCUUAUAC